CCGACUGCCCGAAGGCUUUCCUUUUACAUAAAAGUCAAGACGUCUGGAAAAUACUUAAAAAAUUUGCUCGUUUUUUUUUUUGGAAAUUUUGGCCUAUAUGCCAUCGCAAACCCCUGUGCGUCUAACCUUGUGCGAAGGUCAAUUCUCCCAAAGGAAAGCACAGUUCACCCCCCGCCACA